GAUGAACGCUGGCGGCGUGCUUAACACAUGCAAGUCGAACGAUGAAGCUCAGCUUGCUGGGUGGAUUAGUGGCGAACGGGUGAGUAACACGUGAGUAACCUGCCCUUAACUCUGGGAUAAGCCUGGGAAACUAGGUCUAAUACCGGAUAGGAGCGCCUACCGCAUGGUGGGUGUUGGAAAAAUUUAUCGGUUUUGGAUGGACUCGCGGCCUAUCAGCUUGUUGGUGAGGUAAUGGCUCACCAAGGCGACGACGGGUAGCCGGCCUGAGAGGGUGACCGGCCACACUGGGACUGAGACACGGCCCAGACUCCUACGGGAGGCAGCAGUGGGGAAUAUUGCACAAUGGGCGAAAGCCUGAUGCAGCGACGCCGCGUGAGGGAUGACGGCCUUCGGGUUGUAAACCUCUUUCGCCAGUGAAGCAGGCCUGCUCCUUGUGGGUGGGUUGACGGUAGCUGGAUAAGAAGCGCCGGCUAACUACGUG
rnacentral:rRNA from 1 species